AUUGAACGCUGGCGGCAUGCCUUACACAUGCAAGUCGAACGGCAGCACGGGGCAACCUGGUGGCGAGUGGCGAACGGGUGAGUAAUGCAUCGGAACGUGCCAUUGAGUGGGGGAUAACGUAGCGAAAGUUGCGCUAAUACCGCAUAUUCUGUGAGCAGGAAAGCAGGGGACCGCAAGGCCCUGCGCUCUUUGAGCGGCCGAUGUCAGAUUAGCUAGUUGGUGAGGUAACGGCUUACCAAGGCGACGAUCUGUAGCGGGUCUGAGAGGAUGAUCCGCCACACUGGAACUGAGACACGGUCCAGACUCCUACGGGAGGCAGCAGUGGGGAAUUUUGGACAAUGGGCGCAAGCCUGAUCCAGCCAUGCCGCGUGAGUGAAGAAGGCCUCGG
rnacentral:rRNA from 1 species